GGCCGCGUGGCCUAAUGGCUAAGGCGCUAGAUUUCGGUUGAGAAUCACCUCCUCUAGAGAUUCCAGGUUCGACUCCUGGCGUGGUCG
rfam:Trichoderma reesei QM6a unplaced genomic scaffold TRIREscaffold_9, whole genome shotgun sequence.